GAAUGCUGGGUCAUUCAGGGUGCCAUGCCGACAGCCUCGGCAUGGAUAAUUGGGAAGCCGGUGCGAUGCCGGCGCUGCCCCCGCAACGGUAGCGGAACGAAAUCUCGACGAAUGCCACUGGCCGCCCGGCCGGGAAGGCGUCGAGAGUGUCCCCGAGGGACGGUUCCGAAGCCCGGAAACCAGCCUUGAAGCAAAGACUCGG
rnacentral:ncRNA from 2 species